CCUCGACAAAGGUUGAAGUGUUGCGCGCCUCAAGAGCCCAGCAUUUCCCCUCGCUUCCACUCAACCGACGACCGGGGUCCUGGGCCGCCGCCCCGGCGUCCAAAACCUUCUGAGGCCGCCGCCUAGACAUCCGAAAGCCAUAUGCCAUGGCAAGAACCACAGCCAAGCCGCUAGAUCUGCUGCCCAACCAACCCGGGACCACCAUCCCGGCAUCCACUGCCGCACCGUGCCACCUGCGCGUCUAAGCCUCCUGCGCAUGACGGGAGAAAGCACCACGGCCGCACCAGAUAGCAGCCAAGACCUUUCUCCCAUGAACCUCGCGGUCUGCCACCAAGGCCGGCCCGCCACCGCACACCGAAGAAGCCAAGCCCCACCCAGCCCCACCUGCCCCCAACAGCCGCCCGCCAUGGAUCCAGCCGCGCCGGAGCCGGGCGUUGCAGGCCGCAAAGCCCCGCAUGGGAGGCCAGGCCCCCUUGCCACCAAGACCUGUCGUCGCCGCCCGUCACAGCCGCCUCCGCCCACCGGAGCCCGCAGCGACGAGGGCCGUCGUCGCCAGCAACUCCAUCCGGGGCCGCCGCCCCGGCGUCCGCACUCCACUGCGCAGGAGACGGCCGGAGGAUCCCCACCCACCUUAGGGGGCAGGGCCCGUCGCCACCGCGGCUAGGGCCGGUGGCAGCGGCAGGAGGAGGGCUUGGGGGAGGUGGCGGCGGAUCUAGGGUUUUCUCCCCCCGAGCAGCCAGAGAGGGCGACGCGGGGGUCGGGCAGUGAUCCAACGAUACCCUUCUCGAACGGUAUCCCGUGCCGCAGAUAACACUCGGUCGGACGGGGGAAAAGAAGUGAUGAUAAUGGCAGUGACGCAAGCGCUCCCGACUUACGUCAUGGGUGUAUUCAAGCUCCCAGCCGGGCUUUGCAAGGAUCUGACUAGGCUGAUGAGGGAGUACUGGUGGGGGAAAGAGAAUGGCAAAAGGAAAAUGCAGUGGAUUAGCUGGGAUGUUAUGAUGAGGCCGAAAUCACAUGGAGGCAUUGGCUUCAGAGAUCUUCAGUUAUUUAACCAAGCUCUUUUAGCUAGACAAGCCUGGCGCCUCCUACAAUUCCCUGAGAGUCUAUGUGCUUGCGUUCUCAAAGCAAGAUAUUAUCUGGAUGGUAAUCUGAUAGACACGGUGUUCACAGGUAACCCUUCAUCCUCUUGGAGAGCUAUUGAGUAUGGCCUCGAAUUGUUUUAAAAGGGGUUGAUAUGGAGAAUUGGUGAUGGUAACUCUAUCAGAAUUUGGAGGGAUCCUUGGAUCCCCAGAGAAACAAGCGACAGGCCAAUUACCCGCAAGGGGACUUGUAGAAUCAACUGGGUUGCUGACCUGCUAGAUCAAAAUGGUUUGUGGAACACAGAUUUAGUCCGACGAACUUUCCUCCCUGUUGAUGCUAAGGAAAUCCUUAAGAUUAAAACCCCAGGGAGAAGGUUGAUGGAUAGACUGGCUUGGCAACCUGAAAAGUCAGGCUGUUUCACGGUAAAAAGUGCUUAUUAACUUGGGCUACGUGAUCAGAUGAAUGAUGAUGAUGUUGGUGCAACCAGUGCAAUUCCAGAUGGCAGAUGGCCGGCCUGGGACAUGAUCUGGAAAACUCCAGUCCCUAAGAAGGGGUCAGAGGGAGUACAUACAUUUGCUUGGAAAGUGGGUAGAAACUCCCUAUCCACUCAAGUUAACCUCAGACAUAGAAACAUUAAGACUCUGCCCAAUUGUCCAAUCUUUGGUGCCAAUGCUGAAGACUCCUUCCAUGCUCUUAUUUGCUGUCCCCAUGCUAGGCACUUAUGGUCGGCUAUACGUACUUACUGGGGCUUACCUGAUUUGGAACUGUUUGGAAACUCUAGAGAGUGGAUUCUUGCUAUCCUGGGACGCUUCAGUUUGGAGCAAAGAGUGGUGAUCUUGAUGACGCUUUGGCGUAUCUGGUAUGUGCAUAAUGAGGUGACACGUGACAAACCUGCACCUCCUACUGAAGUCUCACGGAAUUUUUUGAACAGCUACAUCGAAACCUUGAUCUAAAAGGAAAACAAGUCCAUUAACAUGGCUGCGUUUCUCCCCAAAUGCCGCAUAAACUCUGCUGUUGUGGACACUGCUAAAGAUACCUGGCAAAAUCCAGACAUCGGCGUUCUGAAGCUCAAUGUCGAUGGCUCCUACUGCUACGAGACGGCUGAAGCGGGCACAGGUGGCGUGCUUCGUGACAGUGAUGACAGGUGUGUUUUCGCAACUUGCCAAAGCCUUCGGUCCUGCAACAACCCACUGGAUGCUGAGCUCACUGCGUGUGAAGAAGGAAUUCGACUGGCCUUGCAGUUCUCUACGAUGCCGUUCACGGUAGAAAUGGACAGUUAUGAGGUCCUGGCCCUUGUGGAUCCUGCAAAGCCAAACUUGUCCAAGUACUGCAACAGUGUGGAUGCGAUCCGCAGACUCCUUCAGGAGCGUGAAGGCGUCAAGAUGAUCAAAUGUUCGAGAAGUCAGAAUAAUGUUAGCCACACGCUAGCUAAUUUUGCGAGAAUCAAUGCCUCUUCUGAAUUCUGGUUGGGUGAAAAACCUCAAUUUGUAAUUGACGCUUUGCGUCAAGACUCUGUUCAGCUCUUUGAUUAAUGAAGUUUUUAACCCGCAAAAAAAAAA